rnacentral:rRNA from 1 species
UGCAGUCUGCAGCUCGACUGCACGAAGCUGGAAUCGCUAGUAAUCGCGGAUCAGCACGCCGCGGUGAAUACGUUCCCGGGCCUUGUACACACCGCCCGUCACACCAUGGAAGUCUGCAAUGCCCGAAGCCGGUGGCCUAACCACUUAUGUGGAAGGAGCCGUCUAAGGCAGGGCAGAUGACUGGGGUGAAGUCGUAACAAGGUACC